UACGGAGGAUCCGAGCGUUAUCCGGAUUUAUUGGAUUUAAAGGGUGCGCAGGCGGAAGAUUAAGUCGGUGGUGAAAUUUUGCAGCUCAACUGUAAAAGUGCCAUUGAUACUGGUUUUCUUGAGUGUGGAUGAAGUAGGCGGAAUUUGUGGUGUAGCGGUGAAAUGCAUAGAUAUCACGAGGAACUCCGAUUGCGCAGGCAGCUUACUAAACCAUAACUGACGCUCAGGCACGAAGGCGUGGGGAUCAAACAGGAUUAGA
rnacentral:rRNA from 1 species